rnacentral:lncRNA from 1 species
GUGCGAGCGUGCGUGUGUGAGCGUGGGUGUGUACGUGCGUGUACGUGCAUGUUUCAAUGGAAGGGAGUGUUUUGGGCAUUACUCUUCUCCCUAUCGAUGGAGAAACACAGAAGAAGAGAAAGGAGGAUGAAGGGUAACAUGAGGAGGAUGAAGGGGAACAUGAGGAGGAUGAAGGUAACAUGAGGAGGAUGAAGGUAACAUGAGGAGGAUGAAGGGUAACAUGAGGAGGAUGAAGGAUAACAUGAGGAGGAUGAAGGUAACAU